rnacentral:rRNA from 1 species
GAUGAACGCUAGCUACAGGCUUAACACAUGCAAGUCGAGGGGUAACAAGAGAAAAGCUUGCUUUUCUUGUUGACGACCGGCGCACGGGUGAGUAACGCGUAUCCAACCUGCCUAUAACUAGGGAAUAACCUUGCGAAAGUAAGACUAAUACCCUAUGAUUUCCUUUGAUGACAUCAGAUUAGGAAUAAAGAUUUAUCGGUUAUAGAUGGGGAUGCGUCUGAUUAGCUUGUUGGCGGGGUAACGGCCCACCAAGGCAACGAUCAGUAGGGGUUCUGAGAGGAAGGUCCCCCACAUUGGAACUGAGACACGGUCCAAACUCCUAGGGGAGGCAGCAGUGAGGAAUAUUGGUAAAUGGGCGGAAGCCUAAACCAGCCAAGUAGCGUGCAGGAUGACGGCCCUAUGGGUUGUAAACUGCUUUUAUACAGGAAUAAAGUUAGCCACGUGUGGUUAUUUGUAGGUACUGUAUGAAUAAGGACCGGCUAAUUCCGUGCCAGCCGCCGCGGUAA